UGCAUCAUUGCAAAUGAUUGCGCUUGCGCCUGGUGGGCGUGGCGGAACAAUCGUUUCUAUUCCAGUCGGUGCAGCAUCGGUUGUUGCUGC
rnacentral:tRNA from 1 species